rnacentral:rRNA from 1 species
GACGAACGCUGGCGGCGUGCUUAACACAUGCAAGUCGAACGAUGAACUUGGAGCUUGCUCUGGGGGAUUAGUGGCGAACGGGUGAGUAACACGUGAGUAACCUGCCCUGGACUCUGGGAUAACUUCGAGAAAUCGGAGCUAAUACCGGAUAGGACCUUGCACCGCAUGGUGUGGGGUGGAAAGUUUGUCGGUUUGGGAUGGACUCGCGGCCUAUCAGCUUGUUGGUGAGGUAAUGGCUCACCAAGGCGUCGACGGGUCGCCGGCCUGAGAGGGUGACCGGCCACACUGGGACUGAGACACGGCCCAGACUCCUACGGGAGGCAGCAGUGGGGAAUAUUGCACAAUGGGCGCAAGCCUGAUGCAGCAACGCCGCGUGCGGGAUGACGGCCUUCGGGUUGUAAACCGCUUUUAGUAGGGAAGAAGCCUUCGGGUGACGGUACCUGCAGAAAAAGGACCGGCUAACUACGUGCCAGCCGCCGCGGUAACAC